CCAUGAGAACGAAAGGACUGCGCGGGGGGGGGGGGGAGGAGGAGGAGGACGGAGGAUGAGGGGGAGGGAUUUAUUUCUAAUUACAGUAGCGCCCUCUCCCUCCAUCCCUCCCCCGCCUCCUCCUCUGCCCCCCCCCCCCGCAUUUCGAACUCUCC